CGCGGGGUGGAGCAGUCUGGAGCUCGUCGGGCUCAUAACCCGAAGGUCGCAGGUUCAAAUCCUGCCCCCGCAA
rnacentral:tRNA from 2 species